AGAUAUCCUCCUAUGUGAGAUGCUCUUAAUUUAACUGGGCGCCAAAUAUUCUACUCUUUGUGUGAAUGGGGCCAGUAUGAUCCAGCCUUAUGGGCUGGAAAAGUGGGCAAUAGUUGGCGUACAACUGACGACAUAACGGAUACAUGGAAAAGCAUGACAGACAUUGCUGAUAAGAACAACAAGUGGGCAUCAUAUGCUGGACCUAGUGGUUGGAAUGACCCAGAUAUGCUGAAAGUAGGCAAUGGUGGCAUGACCUUAGCAGAGUAUCGCUCACAUUUUAGCAUAUGGGCUCUCAUGAAGGCCCCUCUAUUAAUUGGCUGUGAUGUCAGAAACAUGACUUCUGAAACAAUGGAAAUACUGAGCAACAAAGAAGUAAUUCAAGUAAA